rnacentral:rRNA from 1 species
UGGGGGAAUAUUGCACAAUGGGGGGAAACCCUGAUGCAGCGACGCCGCGUGAACGAAGAAGUAUUUCGGUAUGUAAAGUUCUAUCAGCAGGGAAGAUAAUGACGGUACCUGACUAAAAAGCACCGGCUAAAUACGUGCCAGCAGCCGCGGUAAUACGUAUGGUGCAAGCGUUGUCCGGAUUUACUGGGUGUAAAGGGCGUGCAGCCGGAGAGACAAGUCAGAUGUGAAAUCCGCGGGCUUAACCCGCGAACUGCAUUUGAAACUGUUUCCCUUGAGUAUCGGAGAGGUAAUCGGAAUUCCUAGUGUAGCGGUGAAAUGCGUAGAUAUUAGGAAGAACACCAGUGGCGAAGGCGGAUUACUGGACAACAACUGACGGUGAGGCGCGAAAGCGUGGGGAGCAAACAGGAUUAGAUACCCUGGUAGU